rnacentral:rRNA from 1 species
UACAGAGGUCUCAAGCGUUGUUCGGAUUCAUUGGGCGUAAAGGGUGCGUAGGCGGCGCGGUAAGUCGGGUGUGAAAUCUCGGGGCUUAACUCCGAAACUGCAUUCGAUACUGCCGUGCUUGAGGACUGGAGAGGAGACUGGAAUUUACGGUGUAGCGGUGAAAUGCGUAGAUAUCGUAAGGAAGACCAGUGGCGAAGGCGGGUCUCUGGACAGUCACUGACGCUCAGGUGCGAAAGCUAGGGGAGCGAACGGG